GAUAUGUGUGUGUGUUUGUGUUUAGCGUCAGAAAAUCAUGUUUUAAGACCACGAAGCGAGAAAGCUUAGUAGCAUUACUCGUGGCGAUGCUAUGGGACCAGGAAGUGAAACAACAGGAACUUAAACGGUUUGUUUUGUUUUACUAGGUUAUUCAGCGACGGGGAGAGGGAUCGGAAAAUUUCUUCAAAACUUGGAAAGAAUACAAAGACGGAUUUGGAGCUUUGGAGAAAGAAUUCUGGUUAGGAAAUACCAAUAUCCACCGUAUAACCAGCCAAGGUAAUUAUGAGCUGAGAAUUGACAUGGAAGGCAAAUUAAAUAAGAAAUUUUACGCUCUGUAUGAAAACUUCACCAUAGCAUCAGAGAAAGACGACUUCCGGCUGCAAGUGGGUUAUUUCAGAGGGAAUAUCA